GGAAGAGAAAGUUUUGGAGUUUGUAGGAUAGAAAGGUUUGGAGUUUGGGGGAGAAGAAAAUGAGGGGGUUUGGGGAAAAAGAUGAGGAAGAGAUUAAUGAGGAGAAAAGAGUGGAUUUGGAUUUUUUAAGAAUCCUAGUGAACCCUUUGCACAACGAAGUAUUUGUCACCUAAAGUUUGCAUUUACUUGUUGGCUUAAAUGUCUCACUAACCAUUUCAAACACUUUGCACGACGAAGACUAUUGUUCGUCAUGCAAGAACCACACUGCGACGAAGCUUUCCCUCAUGCAAGAAAAGGUUUGUCACACGAUAAAUUGCCGCCAAAUCUUCAUUUUAUUUCAUUUCCCCCCACAUAUUGGGCGACGCAUUAUCCAGUUCAUCGUGCAAAAUCCUCUUGCACGACGAAUAUCUUUGUCGCCUAAAGUUUUCAAUUUUUUUUUUGCCGGGACGAUUGCGCACAACAAUGGCCUUAUUGUAUUGUGCGACGAAAACUACUUCAACACCUAGAGUUUUGUCGCGCAAGUAGUUUUUCUACUAAUGUAGCUUGAAACUUGGGUAUUACACUUGCAUAUUGGACUAGAAUUCGUAUAGCGUAUGUUUACCUCAUGCCCUGUGAGAUAUAGUUAUAUUAUUGACCCUAAUAUUUAACUUAAAUUAUGCCAUCAAUAUGGUACUUGAUAUCUUUACUUUAGCAUGUUUACUGAGAAAAAUAUAUAUGUUAAACAAGAGAACUGCAAGAUCUUUUGUGACUCACGUAGCUAGUAGCAUUUUUAUCAACAUAACCUGUAAUUUAUUGUGAGAUUAUCUCUUAAUUUAACUAAAAGGAAGAUAUUAAUUAAGUAGAUGAAGAAUGAGGAAUUACAGUUUCUUCUCUGGAACCUUCAUGCCAUUCUAGUACCGUUUACUAGUUUGGAUUCAAACGUAUGCGAAUACUAUUUGUGUGUGUAUUGACAGGCUCUUACCCUGCAUGCAAACGAAUCUAUUCUAUAUAUCCAUUUGCAAUUGCUCCACGCAAACUCUAACCUAAACAUAAAGAUAAACCCUAACCUAAAUAUGUAUUGUAUGUACUAUUUGAAUAUUUAUAUUCAAAUCCCUAAUAUAUACAAGAUGAAACCCUAAUUAAAAGAACUCAAAAAUUACUGUGUGUAAUUCAACGUCCAGAAGAUCACAGAUAUACAUAAACAUCGAUCAAAAUAUAUAUCCAUUUAAGUAUUAGAUGAAGAUCAUGUCAAAUAUUAAUUGGAUUGUCGUAAUUACCAGGUUUAAGGUUUUGGUCAACAUCAGCUCCAGACAUAGUGCCACACGGGAUUGAUCAAGUGUUUGAGACCGCCAAGGGGUAGUAGAUCCGUCAAGCACUUGUGUAUAUAUAUCACAAGGUGCUCAAAACUAGCCCCCCUCGGGGGAUAUACCUCUACCUAUAACGUAAUUGUACACCAAAACAAAACACAGAUUAAAAAACUACAAAAAUCAAAACAAUUGUGUCAUUAAUAUGCAUUCAAAUCAUUUAGAAUGAAACUAAGCACGCAUGAAAAUCAUUUAGAAUGAAACUAACAUGAUCGUUACUGAAAGAAAAAAAGGGUAAUUAACCAUGGAGGUUGAAGAUUUUGAGGAUUAAUCUAAAGCAAGAAUUCGAGAAUAUGAGAGAAUUAAUACCGUUUGACAAGAAUGUAGGGGGUUAAGUGGGGCUAACAACUUCAGUGAUGGAGCACUACGUACACCCCCACAUUCAUGGUCAGAGUUCGACUAUCGCCCUUCCCCGCCCUUGUUCCUGCUUUAGACCUUCUUUGUAUCCCCCCCCCGAAAAAAAAAGGGAAAUGUAGAGGGUAAGAGAUCAACGUGGUAGGCAUAUAUAUGAUCCGGAUUAAUCUCUGAAGUUGUACGGCCAGAGAGGAGCAAUGAGGAUAACAUGACUGAUAUAGAAAAGAAAGAGUUAAACAAGAAUGGAGCUUUUUUGUUUCAUUUUUCCAUUGACAUGUGGUCUCUUCUCUGUGCCAUGCAUUUGCAUGCCCGCUUUGGGUUUCUGUUGGCAAAGAAAGAGAGCAUGCGAAAUGCAAGCCACCCCAUUCAAUCUCAUUCUUUAGCUUUCCACGCUAGCUAGUUAACCAACUUUUUACAAAUGGAAACUGCAUCUCCCUAUUUCCACGCAAAAUUACUAUAAAUUCCCUCUAAUUUUAUCAAAAAAAAUGUCAAUUGUGACCAUAUUAACUGACUACGUGACAUGGAAUGUGUUAACUUUUGAUCUGCACUUAGUGCUGUAACUGUUUGACCGUAGGAACCUUUCACCUGCUCUCCCGCUCUCCCAUGAUCCUCAGAAAAAGAAAAGUUUAAUUCUUUGAGUAUCUUGUACCAUAUGCCUGUAAAUCGAUAAAAAUAAAACGCCUUCUUCUUCCUUUCAUGUAAUAAGAAUUUCCAAGAAAAAAAAUCUUCAACUUUAAGUUUUUAAUUUAAUUUCGGCCAUGGACAACAAAGAAACUAAGAGCACUCAUGUUAUAUCGAUCUAAACAGGGCCGGUCCUGAGUUUUUGGGUGCCCAGUGCGAAAACUCAAAAUGUGCCAUUUUUUAAUAUGGAAACAUAUGCUUAAAAAAAAAUAUUUAACAAGAGCUGGAACCUAGUCGAAGCUGGGGGGGCUAGACCCUCAUGUGCAAAUUAUAUUACUUGAGAAAAUAUACAACGGGGGGACAUAAUACCUAAACACCGACAAUAAAAAAUACAAUCAUAUAUAACCACUCCUAGCAAAGCUCCUUGAAAUUUCAACCUUUAAGAAAUUGUCUUCUGGCAUUUUUUGAAGCAAAAUCAUCAAUUAUAUCAUCAUUCUCCAUGUCUUCAAUCUCAUCAUUUUCAAUGUAUAAGAUUGCUAAUCCAUUUAGCCUAUCUUGAGUCAUAGUGGCUAAUAUGGCUUGUCUUCAUGUUCCACCGGCACCAACGAUGAUUGUGUGGCACUCAUCAUCUGCAUAGCUUGUCUUGUUCCAUUUAUUGGUGUGCAGUCCUCCUCCCGUGCCAUUAGAGUAACUAGAUCUAUAGUUGUGAUCAUAACCGGCCAUUAUUCAACCCAAAGUUUUAAACUAUAUGAUUUACUUGGAUCUCUAGGACUUCUUUCACACCUGCAACAUUUGAAGCUUCUUUUUGUUUAUAUAGAAGGUACAAUUAUUUUUACCUUUAUAUCACAUAUGCUUCUCUCUUUCUAAUGCAUUCCAAGAUUCCUUUCAGGUUCUUCUAUUGCGAAAAUAGUUGAAAGAAUCAUAUUCCCACCAAUCCGUGGAUUUCGACCUUCAUCAUCUUCCCUUCCAUUGACUGAAAUAUUUUCUUCCGUUAAGGAAUUGAGUAUUGAGAGAAAAGAAAAGGGAGUUAGGGUGGGACUGGGACGGCAGGAUAGUGGGGGAAAUGGGGAACAAAGGGGGUUAGGGAAUCAGUAAAGGGUGAAUGUAUUUGUUGGAAGUUAGGGUUAAUGGGACCGAGUGGUCCCUGUUAUGAUUUUUUAAUGCCCAAAACUUGGGCCUUUUUUCAUCUUUUGUCAAACUUGGGCUUUGCCCUCCAGCCUCUUAGGCUCUGGUUAUAUUUUUUUUUUUUUUAAUACCUAGUUACUUCGGUUUUUUUUUUUUUUUUUUGUGCUUCUUUCAUUUUUGGGCUUUGGACAGUUGCCCUGGUGGCACUAGGCCUGGGCCAGGCCUGGAUCUGAACUCCAAAAGUUCGGAGCAUGUUAUUCUUCAUAUCAAUUGCUCACGUCAGAGACUGAUUCUAUUGAUAAGUCAGAUGGGUGGAGGGGUGGGAGGGGUGGGAGGGGGAAGGGGUGGAGGGGUAGAGGGGGGACUUUAUGAACCAAAAGAUUCCUAUAAUUUAGAGAAGGAUAAUGCUAGGGAGACCAAAAUUUUAAACCAAAUUGUGUAAACCAAAUUAAUGAUGUAGUUGUUGAUGAUUAGAUUAUUAAUUAAAUGUCGAUUAACAUGUUAUUUCUUAUUAAUGAUACAUAAUUUGUUUUGCAAAUCUAAUUUAAAAAUUUAGUCUCCUAUCAAUAUCCUUUAGAGAAAAUAGUUUUACAGUUACACAAUUUUCCUUGGAUCUCGAGAAGAAUCAAAUACAACAUUACAAUUGAGGGAGGAGAGAGAGGAGGCAACGGGAAAGGCUAAAAACCUACAAACUAGGGUUUAUGCGUAAAACGUAUAAAGAUGUUUAUAGAUGCAUAUUUUAAUUUAAUAUUUGCUGAAGUUUAGAACCACACUACUGUUAGCUCAUUAUGAGACUAAUCACACUUCCUCUCUUUUAGUGUAUAUAAUAUCGUUUGUUAAAACAUAAAAAAUAAAGGGCAAAAGACUGUUUACUACCCUCAUGUUUCGUGGUUUUCAACAUUUAGUACAUCAAUUUUUUUUCAUCCCAGAGUCAUACCUAAAGUGUAAAUUUUGGGACAGUCUCAUACAUCCGUUAGUCAAACUGUUAAGUUUCCAGUUAAGUGAUGAUGUGGCGCCCAUGUGAACAAUAACUGAGCGCCACGUGGGUCCACGUGGAUUUUUUUUUAGGGGUUCAAAAAAACAUUUUCCCGCCAACGUUUUCCCCACAACCAUGUACCUACAUUUUUUCCCGCCAAAAGUUUUUGAAAAAAAAAUCAUCUACUUUUUUUUUUCUUCUUCUUCUUCCUCGAGGGGACGAAUUGGGUUCCUGAUUGUUUUUUUUUUUUCUUCCUCCUCCUCCUCCUCCUCCUUCUUCUUCUGGGUUUUAGGGGUGGGUUUUCUUCUUCUUUUUCCUCCGAAUCUGGGUUGCAGAUUCGGGUUUUUUUUUUUCCUUUUUCCUUCUUCUUAUUCUUCUUCUUCUUCUUCCUUCUUAUUCUUCUUCCUCUGAAUCUGGGUUGCAGAUUCAGUUUUUUUUUAAUUUUUUUUCCUUUUUCCUUCUUCUUCUACUUCUUCUUCCUCCGAAUCUGGGUUGCAUAUUUCGUUUUUUUUCUUUUCUUCUUCCUUCGAAUCUGGGGAAGAUGAAGGUUUUUUUUUUUUUUUCCUUCUUCUUCUUCUUCUUCUGGGUUGCAGUUUCAGUUGUUUUUUUCUUUUUUCUCUUCUUCCUCUUCCUUUUUCUUUUCUUCUUCUAGGUUUUUCUUUUUGUUCUUCUUCUGGGUUGGCGUUGAGGAGGUCGAGGGAACGGACGACGGGGGAAGAGGAGGGAGGGAGAGGUUGGCGCUGUCGGACUCAAACACCGGAGGGUUCAGGUGUGCGUGGUGAGAUUGGUGUCGGAAAUGGCGGAGCUUGAUAAAAUUGGGUGGUGGGUGUCUUGAUAAAAUUAGGGGAUGAAAUGGGUUCUGCUGUGUGGGUAUCAGGGAAAGGAAGGGUGUCGGUGGGUAGGGGUGAAAAGGAUGGAGGAGUGGAGACGUGGAAGGGGUGGGGGGUGGGGAAGACGAAGGGGAACUGGGAGGGUGGGAUUUGGGGAAGACAAAGGGGUGAGUGAUGGGAGGGUGGGAUUUGGGGAAAACGUUGGAGUUGAAAAAAUCCAAACCUUGAUUGCAGUCAAUAGCCCAAAUGUCAAAGCCGCUUGAAUUUCCUAAAAAAAAUGGUAAAUCUAUGAAUCAAAAUGGAGAGAGAGGCAGAGAGAGGGAUGGGAAAUUACUCGGUGGUGGAGGUGAUCAGUGAUGUGGGCAGAGAGGACGUGGACGGCGGAGGUGCAGAUGACGAGGUAGGAGAAAAAACCCCAAAUGUCGGCCUCCCUCUUCUAUCCUCCCUCAAUAACAAGCUUUAUGUAUCGACCCAGAUCAAAAAUUCCAUAACCAUGGGGAUUUUUUCAGCUCUAAAGUUGGUCAAAGCCACAAACCCAUUUUCAAAGAAUUAAAGGUAUGGAAAUGGAGCAUCAUUCCAAUUGAGCAUCAUUCCAAUCCAUUUUCAAAGAAUUAAAGGUCUGGAAAUGGAGGCGUACCAUGUGGGUCCCUGCAUCGCGGAUCUGGAACUCGUACUCGUACUGGGUUUUCAUUUCUGAGUGAGAUGGAGCGAGUUGAGGAGGACAGAUGGGGUUGGGUUUUUUGGGAAGGAGAAAAGGCUUGGUGGUAGGGUGGGUAUCAGGGAAGGGGAAGGGUGUCGGUGGGUGAGGGGUGGAGGCGAUGAAGGGAUGUCGGGUGGGGAAGACGAAUGGGUAGUGGGUUUUUUUUUAUUUUUUUAUUUUUUAUUUUUAAAUAUAUAUAUAUAUUUUUUUUUUAAUUUCCACAUAGAUGACACGUGGUGCCUAGUCAUUGUCCACCUGGACGCCACGUCACAGUUAACGGGAGACUUAACAGUUUGACUAACGGAUGUAUGAGACUGUCCCAAAAUUUACACUUUAGGUAUGACUCUGGGAUGAAAAAAACUUGAUGUACUAAAUGUUGAAAAUCACGAAACAUGAGGGUAGUAAACAAUCUUUUGCCCAAAAAUAAAAUAUUUGCUAAAGUUUAAUAAAAAUCAAUCAUUCUAUGCAUGCUUAUCAAUUAUUGUUGCUAAGUCUGUAUGUAUGAAUAGUUGCUUUAAGUUUUGAUGUGCAAAGUUCUAUAGAAUGAAAGCGUUCUACGGUCCAUCUGGGUUGCAAUGCUGGAGUCGGAAAUUUUUCACCAGUGGGCAAGCUUAAAGACUUCAAUCUUCAUACAUAAAGAAACUUGACCCUGUAUUUUUCAUAGUAUCAUCUAGCUUAAUAAAAUUUUCACAAGGGAGCCAAGAAUUUUCGUUAUUAAACAAAUACGUAUUAAAAUUCAAAUGAAUUUUGUUUGUACCAUACUUGACCAAUCCCGAAACUACUGAGCACCGAUCAACGUUAUACCGUCAAGGACCCAAAAGAGCUUCCCUCCAAUAAGGAGGCCAAUCACAGCGCGACACGUGUCGACAUUAGAAGCCAAUCAUAGCGCGACACGUGUUAACAUCAGAAGCCAAUCACAACACGACACGUGUCAAUGUCAGAUUGAAACUAGAAACUCUCUUCUAUAAAUAGAGAUCAUUCUCUCACAAUAUUUCCUAAUGUCAUUUGUACUAAAUCAUUCACUAGUACUCACUAAAGGAGAGCUUGAACCUAUGUACUUGUGUAAACCUUUCACAAUUAAUGAGAACUCCUAUACUCUGUGGACGUAACCAAUCUGGGUGAACCACGUACAUCUUGUGUUUGCUUCCCUGUCUCUAUCCAUUUACAUACUUAUCCACACUAGUGACCGAAGCAGUCUAGCAAAGGUCACAAACUUAACAUUUUCUGUUGUACCAAAGUCCUCACUGAUUUUGUGCAUCAACAUUUGGCGUCGUCUGUGGGAACGACACUUAUUCGCACUCUCUUCAGCUUUGCCAAGCUUGUUUCCACCAUUCAUACACUCUCUUUUAACCAGACAUCCCUCUCCAACAUAGGGAGCGAAGGAAGCCACAGUACACAGAAUGACACCCAUCUUGCACCUAAUGCAAAGCAACGAAAUAAGGAAGGAAAGAGGGUUGCUCUUCAAGCUAAAGUCGAUGAACUAGAAGCCUAGAACAACAAGAUAUCAAUGAAGAAUGAGGUCCUCCAGGAGCAGUAUGAGAAGCUCUUUGAGACGCUCCACGAAACUAGGCGAACUCAAACACGAGAGCUCGUUGCCCCUGUAGACAUCAACCAUCAUCUGGGUGCCUCCCAACACGGAGGGUCACCUCUUUUCGACAUGGGUAUCCUGAUGAGGAGUGAGCUAAUCAUCAAAACAUUGAUCAACAUAAGACUUCUCUCAACCCAGAUGCUUCGACCUGAAGUAGAAGAAGUGGAGGAAGACACCUCCUUGCAGAAGGGUUGGAAGGAUCGAAAGCUGUUUAUCGUGACUGCCGAGAUUUCUUAAAGCAACGUCGAGAGAAUCCCCUCCACAUAUGCUCGAAGAUCAAUGACCCAAAAGUUUCCGAAAGACUCGGUCCCCUCCCACGGCCCAGGUCAGCUGCCAAUCUAGGGAAGGAACGACAGGUCCCAGAGGAACAUGAAGGUAUAGGGGACUUUGAGGUAUUCCGACAGACUUGCCCUAGAAGUUAGUACGGCGAGUCCAAGAAAAAAUCACACGCCCUUGCUCAAACUUUCCUACUUCUAAGAGGUGAUGGAGACUUACGAAAGAAAAUUCUAGUGGUACAUGACUCCACUUAGGACCCCCUUGUCCUACGGCUCAUUGAGGAAGUAAACAAGUUGAAGGCCUAACGUCAGGCUGAGAUACCUGACUGGAACCAACCCAGGCCUGGCCCUCUCACAAGAAGGAUCAUCGACACCUCCUUCAAGAGAAGACAAAACAAAAGCUUAGUUUACAACUCUAUACUAGAAGGGAGGAUCCAAUUGAACACAUUAACCUCCUUAAGUCCACUAUGGCAUAUCGGAUGCACAUCGACAAAGAGCGAUGUCUUCUCUUCCCUUCCACCCUCUCUGACGGAGCUCUAAACUGGUAUUGCCGUCUUCGACCUGAGACAGUAGACUCAUUUGAGGAAUUGAGGAAACUGUUUAUCUUUUAACACAUCUUCCAGAUUGAUCACUUGCAUUAUGCAGAUGACUUGUACACUAUUCACUAGAAGCCGGACGAGUCACUACGAGAGUAUGCCGGUCGCUUCAGCCAUGAGCAUUCUUACCGCGCUAAGGCAGAUGACAAGACCACCCUCAAGGCCUUCACAACAGGCCUACAUGAUUGUUUCUUCAAGUACAUGAUCAAUGCCAACACUUGGAAGACUUACUCUGAGGUGAUGGCACAUGCUUACAACCACGCAUCCGCCGAAGCAAGGACAUACCAAGGGAACCCCUAUAUGGUUAACCCCUAUCAACAAAUGGGAAGUGGAAGUCAAGUUCUACUAAGUGAGGAGAUAUUGGCCAUUUAGACACCCAUUGCAUCAUCUCCUACCUCAUUUAACUACUCACUAAGUCACCAAACGUAUUUGUCUCUUAGUAAGAGGAAUGAUUUUUACACUCAGCAAGCCCAUUACAACAAGAGGGAUAAAAGUUCGUAUCAAGACAACCAGGGUUGAACGUACCGUCAACUAUUAUGACUAUGGGGCUAAGCCUCACUUUUUCAAAGUGGAGGACUAGGUACUGAAGGAAAUGCUAUUAUAAGAAGGCAUACACAUUACAAAUGUUUUGACUCUUAACCGCUUGAGAUCUUUUAUCACAUAAGCCAUUCGGCAAAUAUUUAAAGAAGUGAGAAUUCAGACAACUUCUUCUGAGUCUUUUACGUUCCUAGUACUGGAACACUUGGUCUACGCUGACCUACCCUUAUACUCUAACUCAGAGCUUCAACAUGCGUACUUUGACACAAAGUAUGUGAUACUAAGUGUUACAACCAACAUGGUUCACAUAUCAAAAGCAUGGAUCCCUUCAUGCAUAGCAAAACAUUCAUAAGCAUCACUCACAUCAAUCAACAUAAACAUUAUACAUUCCAACACAUUCAUACAUAAACAUCAUACAUUCCAACAUAUCCAUACAUAAGCCAACUGUGCUUCGAAAGGGUUCAACAUACUUUGUGUCUUCAACACUUGCUACAAUGUGCCUCAACACCUUGCACUUAUUCUCACCAACCAAGUGAUGAAAUAUGAAGAAGGAACUUAUCUUCAUGCCACCAACCAGGUGAUGAAAUGUACAACCCGUACUCUCUUUCAUGCCAUCAACCAUGUGAUGAAAUAUACAACCCGUACUCUAAUAUCAUUUGGCAACUUGCCACUCAUGCCACCAACCAGGUGAAGAAGGAACUCAUCUUUAUGCCACUAACCAGGUGAUGAAAUGUACAACCCGUACUCUCCUUCAUGCCACCAACCAGGUGAUGAAAUGUACAACCCAUACUUUAAUAUCAUUUGGCAACUUGCCACUCAUGCCACCAACCAGGUGAAGAAGGAAUUCAUCUUCGUGCCACCAACCAGGUGAUGAAAGGUACAACCCGUACUCUCCGUCAUGCCACCAACCAGGUGAUGAAAUGUACAACCCGUACUCUAAUAUCAUUUGGCAACUUGCCACUCAUGCCACCAACCAGGUGAAGAAGGAACUCAUCUUCAUGCCAUUAACCAGGUGAUGAAAUGUACAACCCGUACUCUCCUUCAUACCACCAACCAGGUGAUGAAAUGUACAACCAGUACUCUAAUAUCAUUUGGUAACUUGCCACUCAUGCCACGAACCAGGUGAAGAAGGAACUCAUCUUCAUGCCACCAACCAGGUGAUGAAAUGUACAACCUGUACUCUCCUUCAUGCCACCAACCAGGUGAUGAAAUGUACAACCCGUACUCUAAUAUCAUUUGGCAACUUGCCAUUCAUGCCAUCGACUAGGUGAAGAAGGAACUCAUCCUUGUGUCACUAACCGGGUGAUGAAAUAUGAUGAAGGAACUCACAUUCGUACCACCAACCAAGUGAUGAAAGCAACUCACCAUUCAUUCUACCUACCAGAAGACGAGUGGUACAACUUGUACAUGUGAACUUCUAACAUUCACAAAUAAUCAAAAAACCCUCAAGCUUGACAACUCAACUAGGGGAGCACUUAUGCCCAACAAGAGUUAUAGUCACCAACAAAGUCUUAUUGCAAGCCAACAACAACUUCAGUGCAUGGCGUACGAAGAUCAAACUAUUCAGCCUUCUUGCAUCUGCUUCAGACAUUUCCCAUUUGUAACAAUGCAAACACUACAACUCGUAGAAAGCUUCACACUCUUAAUCAAGACAGUGUGAAGCAAAACCAAUUUAUGGUGCCAAUAAGAGCUUCAUCGAAGGAGUUCAACCACAAUUCUCAAAAACUUCACACACUCUUGAUCAAGACAGUGUGAAGCAAAACCAAUUUAUAAUGCCAACAAAAGCUUCAUCAAUGGAGGGCAACCACAAUUCUCAAAAGCUUUACACACUCUUGAUCAAGACAGUGUAAAGCAAAACCAAUUUAUGGUGCCAACAAUUCUCAAAAGCUUCACACAUUCUUGAUCAAGACAGUGUGAAGCAAAACCAAUUUAUGGUGCCAACAAGAGCUUCAUCAAAGGAGUUCAACCACAAUUAUCAAAAGCUUCAUACAUUCUUGAUCAAGACAGUGUGAAGCAAAACCAAUUUAUGGUGCCAACAAGAGCUUCAUCAAUGGAGGGCAACCACAAUUCUCAAAAGCUUCACACACUCUUAAUCAAGACUGUGUGAAGCAAAACCAAUUUAUGGUGCUAACAAAAGCUUCAUCAAAGGAGUUCAACCACAAUUCUUAAAAGCUUCACACACUCUUGAUCAAGACAGUGUGAAGCAAAACCAAUUUAUGGUGCCAACAAGAACUUCAUCAAUGGAGGGUAACCACAAUUCUCAAAAACUUCACACACUCUUGAUCAAGACAGUGUGAAGCAAAACCAAUUUAUGGUGCCAACAAAAGCUUCAUUAAAUGAGUUCAACCACAAUUCUCAAAAGCUUCACACACUCUUGAUCAAGACAGUGUGAAGCAAAACCAAUUUAUAGUGCCAACAAGAGCUUCGUCAAUGAAGGGCAACCAUAAUUCUCAAAAGCUUCACACACUCUUGAUCAAGAUAGUGUGAAGCAAAAUCAAUUUAUGGUGCCGAAAAACGCUUCAUUAAUGGAGGGUGACUACAAUUCUCAAACCUUCGAGGCAAAUUCAAGACUGUUUGAAGCAAAUUCAAUUUAUAUGGUUCAUCCAAACCUUCGACUACUACAAGGUGUGGAUUGCAUCACAAUCUCUUGCUCAACAGUGUGGAAGCAAAAUUUGUAUAUGUUGUCUCUCCCACAUUUUCAAAUUUCUAGUUUCCCAAAAAAUAAAAAAUAAAAAAAAAUCAAUGAAUGACAACUACAAAUUCUCAAAAGCUUCACACUAUCUUGAUCAAGAUAGUGUGAAGCAAAAUCAAUUCAUGGUACCCAACAAAGCUUCACCACAAAAGCUUCAUCAAUGGAGGACAACUACAAAUUCUCAAAAGCUUCACACUAUCUUGAUCAAGAUAGUGUGAAGCAAAAUCAAUUCAUGGUACCUAACAAAAGCUUCAACUACAAAGCUUUACCUACAAAGCUUCAACUCCAAAGCUUCACCUACAAAAGCUUCACUCACAAUAGCUUCACCUACAAAAGCUUCACCCAUAAAAGCUUCACCCACCAUAAAAGCUUCACUUACAAUAGCUUCUCCUACAAAAGCUUCACCCAUAAAAGCUUCACCCACCACAAAAGCUUCACCCACAAAAGCUUCCCCCACCACAAAAACUUCACCCACCCACAAAAGCUUCACCCACAAAAGCUUCCCUCACAACAAAAGCUUCACCUACAAAGCUUCAACACAAAAGCUUCACCUACAAAAGCUUCACACUAUCUUGAUCAAGAUAGUGUGAAGCAAAAUCAAUUCAUGGUACCCAACAAAGCUUCAACCUCAAAGCUUCACCUACAAAGCUUCACCUAUAAAGCUUUAUAUAUAUAUUUUCGGAAAUUCGAAAAUUCAAAAAUUAAAAAAAAAAAAAAAAUUGCCUAGGCCUCAUCUUCUUUGGGCCUAACAACUUUCAUAAUAAAUGGUGAAGUUUUGGGCUACCACUUAGAAAGGAAAAUGGUGAAGUUUUGUUACUUUGGAAACUUGGCUACUAGCAAGACACCUCCUUCAUCAACUCCCUCGACCGGAGACUUGGGGGAUUCCUACCAUGUGCUACUACACCUUGAUACUUAGAAGUCUCACGACCACUCAUUGACUUGGAUUUUUCAAGUCUCCAAACGAGAAGUUUUCCUCACUCGGGAAAUUAAGGGAGCACUACCUCAACCUACAUGCUUCACUCACAAAGCUUCAAUAAAAGGAAAAAUUCAAAGAACUUAGUUAAGAAGGCCUUGAUGUAUUUAACACAAUACAUUGAAAUGAAGCAAAGCUUGUUUAUUGAUAUCUCUGAUAAGUUACAAAUAUGUACAUAGACAAGAAUUAAAAUAAACAAACAAGAGGGAGCCUUCACAAAGGUUGCUCAUGAGAAGUCUCAGUAGUCGGCAGAGCCCCAGAAAAAGAGGAGGCACCAGAGGGUGAUUAUUCGGAGCCUCAGUACUAGGCAGAACCCCAGAAGGAGGAAGCACUGAAGGUUGAUCAUUUGGAGCUUCAUUACGCGGUACAGCCCUAGAAGACGAAGGCAAUAAAUGCCUUUGGAACAAACCUCUAAACCUCUGAUGAUCAAGUAAAAUCUGACCAUCAGAUUCCUGCAGCUGGUCGAGCUUCCUCUUUAUGUUUGUAGCAUAGUCAUGUGCAAGCCUGUGCAACUGUUUGUUCUCAUGCUUGAGCCCUUUAAUCUCCUGUUUGAGACUUAUCACUUCAGCCGCCAAUGAUUCAACUUGGCGGGUUCGAGCAAAUAGGCGUUGGGCCAUAUUAGACACAGAAGAUGCACACUGAACACUGAGAGCCAGAGAAUCCUUAACAGCCAACUUAUCAAACCGUUUGGAAAAUAGUCUGUUAUCUUUAGGAGUGAGAAGGUUCCUGGCCACCACCGCAGCGGUCAUAUCAUUCUUCAUCAUAGAGUCCCCAAUGGUAAGAAGACCAGUAGGGGAUAAGAAGGAUGGGCGCCAUAUGUUGUCUUGAGAAGGCAUGGCUGCCUCUUCACCAAAGUUUAAGUCAAAACGAUGGUCGGAUGGGCCAGACAUUCUCAGAAAUGAUGAAGGAGAAAUGAGGUGCAAUAAAUCUCUGAAGUAAGAGGAAAAUUCCUACAAGCAAUAACUCUCUGAAUGUACUUCUUGAACACAAUUGGUGCCCUUAUAAAAGAAAGGGCAACAGGGCAGUUGGUUCAAAAAUCGAAGAGGCACCACUUUCCGGAUUCCAAGGAGGCACCACUUUCCACACGCAACAUCAGCUCCUCGUGUACCACAAAUAACUUUGCCAGAUAACUUUGCCAAAGAUCUUUGACAAAGUUUAGACAUAUAAAUUUUAAAGGUUCAGCCCUACUAUUACCCACAAGGGUAAAGAAACAACACCACUGCUUGAUAACUAGAAAGUCCUUAUGUGUGUUAACCUCCGUGCUCAGUGGCAAGGCAGACUAGCAAAAAUGCCCAACCUUUACUCACAUUCGAGAAAACACUCCCAACAAGAUUGCUUGCUCAAAAAUCGAAGAGGCACCGCUCUCCGAAUCUCGAGAGCCAGACUCCCAAUAGGAUUACUUGCUCAAAAAUUGAAGAGGCACCGCCCUCUGAAUCUCGAGAGCCAGACUCCUAACAUGUUACUUUCUCAAAAAUUGAAGAGACACCGCUCUCCAAAUCUCAAGAGCCAGACUUCGAACAAGAUUUCUUUCUCAAAAAUCGAAGAGACACCAUUCUCCGAAUCUCGAGAGCUAGAUCUCCGACAGGAUUGUUUGUUUGAAAACCGAAGAGGCACCGCUCUCAGAACUUCGAGAGCCAGAUUUCCUUGGAUAAAGCUUGUUUGCAUUCUUCAAACGCAACAUCAGCUUUCCAGAUACCAUAGACCACUUUUUCAAAGUGCUCUGACAAAGUUAAAACACAUGAAGCUUGCAGCUCCCACUACAUUGCUAUAACCAAGAAGGGUAAAUGAAUAACACUACUACUUGUUAGGGAGACUCCUAUAUACGUCGACCUCAAUCAUCCACAGCCAGGCAGACCUGCAAAUAAAAAAAAAUGCUCAACUUUUCUUCACAUCCGUGAGGGCACUCUUAGCAAAUUCUCUCGAAAUACUCAAUUUCUUUUCCUCUCGAUAAUACCUCUGCAAACAAGCCAUACCAAAGCAAGAGUAUCUCAUAUCAUCAGGGUUAAAAGCAAGAGUAUCCCAUAUCAUGCUUUUUCCCUGUUUUUUCCUUUGGCCUUGUUCUUACCUGCAAGACAAUAAGAAAGAGAGCAAUCAGUCAGCACUUGGAAUCAAGCUUUUAGUCAGGAACUGACUGCCUAGAACUCCUUGCCUGAUUACUUACCUGACAUUGCUCUCGAGUACUCAUCUUCAACAUCUUAUGCUUCUAGAGAAGAUACCACAUCUGCUUGAGGAACAGAUAGGGCAAGUAAGAAGGAUACAAGGAAGCAUGUGGAGACAAACGUAAUAGAACACGUGCCGAUACAUCCACUACUUUGUCAACAGUAAAAGUAUCUCAUAUCAUCAGGGUCGAACGUACUCUAGAUUUGAUAGACUUGUUUUGACCCUUAAAAUCUUGAGUCGGCCUUAUACUCUAGAGGAAACCAGAAAACCCUUCAGCCUAGUUCAAGAAUAAGCCUGUGGAAAGUUACUUAUUCAAAAGCAAAAGUAUCUCAUAUCAUCUCUUCUCCAUUUGCUUUUCAUUAUCCUUGUUGUUGUUUACGACGCAAGGAAAAGGAGAACAAUCAACCGGAAGCCGAAGUCGAACCUCAAAUCCAGGUUGCUUGCUUGGAAGUCUAAUUGCUUACCUUGUCUGUUACCUCAUUCGGUAAAUCUCCUAGCUCGGCGACUUGGGAAACUUUUACUAUAGGGUUUGUAUCGCACUUGACCAAGCCCGAAACGAUAAGUAAGCUUCAAGUGAAAUUGAUACAUUACCUUGUGCAUCUUCAUUGGUUAAAGAUACCCCCCAGGAUGGUGGAAAAGUACUUCAAGAGAAGAUACCACAUCUAUAUAUGAGACAAAUAAGGCAAGUGAAAAUGAUACCACACUUCGGUACUUAGAAGUUUCGUGAUUACUCAAUAACUUGGAUCUUGCAAGUCCCCAACCGAGGAGCUUCCCUUACUUGGGAACUUAGGGGAGCACUGUUUGUACCAUACUUGACCAAUCCCGAAACUACUGAGCACCGGUCAACGUUAUACCAUUAAGGACCCAGAAGAGUUUCCUUCCAACCAGAAGGCCAAUCACAGUGCGACAUGUGUCGACAUCAGAAGCCAAUCAUAGCGCGACACGUGUUAACAUCAGAAGCCAAUCACAACACGACACGUGUCAAUGUUAGAAUGAAACUAGAAACUCUCUUCUAUAAAUAGAGAUCAUUCUCUCACAAUCAUUUGUACUAAAUCAUUCACUAGUACUCACUAAAGGAGAGCUUGAACCUAUGUACUUGUGUAAACCCUUCACAAUUAAUGAGAACUCCUCUACUCCGUGGACGUAGACUAUCUGGGUGAACCACGUACAUCUUGUGUUUGCUUCCCUGUCUCUAUCCAUUUAUAUACUUAUCUACACUAGUGACCGAAGCAGUCUAGCAAAGGUCACAAACUUAACAUUUUAUGUUGUACCAAAGUCCUUACUGAUUUUGUGCAUCAACAAAUUCAAAAUUGUACAUGUACAAGAAGUAAUGACACUAGUAGAAAAAACUAUUUGCGUGACCAAACUUUAUGCGAUGAAAGGAACUCGUCACACAAAACAGGUUAGCGCGACAAAUAUACAAUUUCAUCGCGCAACUUCGUCAAAAAUAAUUUAAUGGGACCAACAACUUGCAUGACGCAAUCUUUCGUCGCGCAAAACCACUUUGUGAGACAAAAAAACCCUUCGUUGCGCAGAGGUUCGAAGAAAAACACCCAGAUGCCUGUAUUUUAGGGCCAAAAAUAGAUACGACGUGUGUUACUUUGCGAGAUCAAUAUUUGGUCGCGCAAAGGUUCACACAUUUACUUAACUGUUAGUUGUUUAUUCAAAAUGUUGAAUGCGUUAUUUACUCCAUGGUUUUGAGCAACGAAGGUUUCAUCGUGCAAAGAAGCUAGAAUUCCUUUAAAUUGACAGUUUAGCUCAGUCUCAACACAAUUCAAUCUGAAAACUCAUUACCUUCAUCGAAUUAUUAUUCCAAUUUUUUUUGUUUUUUUGUACACAAUGGCAGACUCUGGUGGUCCUUUGUCAAAGAGAGUUCAAGGUGAAGAUUUUGAGAAAGGUAAUGCGUACUAAAUUUUGUUGGUUGUGUAAAUUAAUUAAAUAUUUAAGUAGACUAAUAUAAGUUUUUAUUUUGUUGGUAGACAAGAAAAAGAAGAGAGUUGCGACAUGUGUUCAAUACACUUCUUUUGCUAAGAGCCGUUACUAAAUCACUUACGCAUAAUUAGUAGGAUAUGAGAAGUCGGAUAUGGUGAACAAGUUUAGGGGUGACGUUGGGGUAUUGGUGCGUGAUAGAUGCAGAGUGAAUUGGGAGUCUUGGAGAGACGUCCCCAAGGAGAUAAAGACGGUCAUGAUCGAUGUGUUAGCAGUACAUGUAAAUUAUUAAUUAGUUAAAUAAUAAUGUAGUUCUUAAGAUAAAAUAUAAUAGUGAUAUGUAUAAUUUAUUUAUGUUUGCAUAUCAGCCUGAUUGGGACAUUGACAAAAAUGACACAAAUCUGAUAAAGUGCAUUGACGUUGCGUUCAAAUAUCGUUUUCGGGAGUUGAAGUUUGAUGUUGAAUGUGACGUGGAACGACACGAAGUGGCUGGACCAGUAGAUGAUUAGAAUAGUUUUUUUUUUUUUUUUUUUUUUUUUGUAUUAGUCUAUUUAUGGUUUAUUAAAUAAUGACACUAAAUUAUUAUUAAUUUGGAAGAAUAAAUUUACAUGGACUGUAUUUAUUUUGUUUCUUCUCAAGAACAUAUUUCUAAAAUAAUAUAAUAUUGACUUUAGUAUUUUGAAAAACUGUUUUCGAGACAAAAUAAAAUAAAUAUUUCUGAUCGUCGCGCAAUGAUUUACGCAACAAAAAAAAAUUGUCUCUAAAACCUUUGAGGGACGAGAUUUCAUCUCACAAAAACAUUGUAAAAUGGUAGGUUAGCGUUUAUGUCGUCAUAUUUACUGCGUAUUUACCGCUUAAUUACGCAACAAAAGUUUGGUCGCCAGAACGUUGAGGGACGAGACUUUCAGAACUAAAGAGUCAUGAUUGCCAUGUCUUUCUACAAUACCUACUUCCAGUUGGUAUUCGGCACUUGUUGCCCGAUGAUGUCAUGAAGCCAAUCAUAUUGUUGUCCGUAUUUUUCCCCCCAAUUGAUUGCAAGGUUGUUGCGAAAAUUAGACAUUAAUCAGUUGCACCACGACAUUGUCCAAGUCCUCUGCAAGUUCAAACAAAUAUUUCCUCCAGCUUUCUUCACAAGUAUGAUCCAUGUUAUGGUUCACUUGUUGGAGGAGGCAUUGCUUGUUGGACCAGUUAACUAUCGAUGGAUGUACCCAAUAGAAAGGUAUAAACUCGUUAUUCAAAUGUUUAUUCAUUGUCAUACAAUAUGUUUAUCUAAUUUAUUUGCUAACGGUGUUCGCAUUUUUCAAUGCUUCUAGCGAUCAAAAAAAGUGUACGAAAAAGGGCCAAACCCGAAGGAUCCAUUAUAGAGGAUUGGGUCGCAUAGGAGUCCCUUACAUAAUCGUCCUCAGCACAAUAAUGACGGGGGUGUGCAAAAAGAAAAAUUUUCUAUUUUUGCCCAAGUCGCACAACCCUUUGGCAAGCCUGUUCGAGGGGAGGAAUUUACCAAAAAGGAAAUGGAGGUUGCACAUUGGUUCAUACUAAACAAUUGUGAUGAGACAAUGAUUUACCUGGAUGAGCAUGAACAAAUGAUGAAGCGGGAUUAUCCUUCACAUCUAUAUGCGAAGAAGCACCACGAAUUCUUUCCUCGGUGGUUUCUCGAAUAUGAAGUUUUUUGCUUUUGUAUUGAACAUGUUAGUAAUUUCAUCAAUAUAUUCGAAGUGGCUAAAACAAGAAGUUAUUUUUUGCUAUCAUGUUAGGUAAAUCAGUUAAAAGCAUCAAAUUCACCUACUUACACUAAAGAGUUAUAUAACUUGGCAUUCAGUCUUAUUCGGGUAGAAUCGUACUCCAGUUGCCAUGUUAACAGCGUCAAGUUUUUGGGGGCUAAGUGUGAAGACAAGUUGUGUACGUAAAACAUCGGUGUCUAUGUCCCAGGUGGUGGCGAAAGUACAGACAUUAAGUUUUAUGAUAAAUUAUCCAAUGUCGUACACGUGUUGUACAAAGACCGUUACCAAGUUAUCGUUUUUAAAUGUCGAUGGUUUGAUACAAACCCACAUAGGCACCUUAAGAGGACGAUUGCUUACUCUUAGUCAACACUACCAGAACUUGGUACGAUGACGACCCUUAUAUUUUGGCAAGUAUGGCAAAACAUGUUUUUUAUGUAGAUGACCCUAAGGUCGGAAAGGGUUGGAAAGUUGUUCAAAGGAUUAAGCAUUGGAAUAUGUAUGCUAACCAGACCGAGAUCCUAGUUCUAAUGGGGACGACAUCAAUGUCGCGAACCAACGACUUGAGUCUUCAAUAGAAAUUGGUGGGGAAACAGUACAGGAUAAUAAUCUUAUCCAAGAACCAUUUCAGAUACCAGGCGUUGCUAGUAUUGAAAUACCGAUUGACUCACUUUCAAUUGACCUUGGUGAUCUUCCUCGAUAUGAUCCACCAGAGGCUCUGAACGAUGACGAUGACAUCAGGGCCGGUCCUGAGUUUCUUGGUGCCCAUAGUGAUCAGUCAAAAUGUGCCCUUUUUCAAUAGCGACCAUAUAUUAAAAAAAAUUUAGAUAGAGCUGAAACCCAGUCGAAGCUGGGAGGGGCUAGGCCCUCACGCCUAUAUUAUAUUACUUGAAAACUAUACAUAGGGGAUAUAGUACCUAAACCUGACGAUCAAAAGUAUAAUCAUAUACAACCACACCAAGCAAAACUCCUUGAAAUUUCCACUUUUAAGAAAUCGUCUUCUUGCAUUUUUUUGAAGUGUAGCUUUAAUAAUUUUUUUCCUUUUCAUAUUACCAUAAAGUUAUUUCCUAAACGACAUGGCUUCAAUAAUUUUCAAUUUCAAAUUAUCAUUCCUACAUAUAUUAUAUAUUAUAAAGAUACUAACAUAUCAUUCAAACAUAUAUUAUAAAAAAAUGAAUUGAAAUUUCAACAUAUAUUCUUAAAAUUAACUAAUCGCCAUUAGCCACUCGGGUUUUGCUACUUUGGCAAUUGGCAGUCUUAAUACGACACAUUUAUGGUUUUGGGACCUGAUAUGAAAUUAAAAUUGAUUAAGUAAUUUGUGAAUAUAAAAUUAUAACUGAUUUAUAAAAAUUAAAAUUAAGUUAAAAAAAUUGAGGAAAAUUGAAUAAAAAAAAGGAUUGAGCAUAUUUGGGUGAACUCAGAAUUGUCCCUUCUGGGGCCGUGGACUGAUUUACAAAGAAUCAGAAGUGGAGACGACUGUCCUCCGGCACUGCCGGUCUGUGACUGAGAGAGACUGAGAGCCUGUGAGAAGAAAAAUUUGCGAAGACGAAUAGUCGAAGGCAGUUGGGAAUUUGGGAAAUUGCUUCGAAAUUCGGGGUUGCGGCCCCUUGUGGGUUUUGCAAUAUACAGUCGUUGGUCGUUGAAAGAACCGACUCAUGAAUCAUAAUCCCUUUAAUUAAUUAAGGCUUGAAACUUGGUCGUUGGAAGUUGGAAGGCGUAUUGAAGACUGAAGAAUUUAGGGGCCUGUGCCAAUUUUUGUUUCUUACCUAUAUAUAAGAUAUGUGUUAAAAAAAUUUUGUGCCUCUCUCAAUUUUGGGCUGUGGACGAAUGCCCUGUUAGCAUUGGGCCAGGGCCCGUCUUGGGUGACAUACCUAUCGACGAUGAGGAAUGAAACAUUGAAGAUUAUGAUACUGAAGAUUUUGAAUUGUUUUGUAAAUUAAAUUGUAACGAUCCAUUCCCAAUUUUACGGUUUUUAUAAUUUUAAUAAGUGAAUUUACGAAAAUGCCCUUUGAGGCAAAUGCAUAGACUUUUGUUGACUGCCAUGUCGUGCCACAUAUGACUCAUUUUCUUGGCGUAUCUUCCUAGUACUCGUCGCUACGAACGCGUAGGCGCAAACAGAGCGUAAUUUGGAGUUAUAAUGAAGACUCUACGAACCUUUAAACGUCAAGGGCAUUUGGGUAACUUGACAAUUGAACAUGUGAAAUUGGUUGUGUGCCACGUGAGACCCACAGAUUGAUCCCCAUUUUUCUGGAUUCUUCUUUUCCUCUUCUCCUUCUUUCUCCCGUGACUCUUCUCAACUCACAUAUCUCUCUCUCGCCCUCAACUCCCUCCCUGUGACACUUAAGCACCAAUCCACCUUCCCAACGAAUUAAUGACUUGAAAAUCACCAUAUUCUUACUCUCCUCAGACCUAGAAACCUGAAUCAAAUUUUGGUUUCUCGGAAUACUGUGCACGGAUGCUAUUUCAAGAACCUUCAUUAGAGUCGUGGGUUUCCCUUCCGUUUCAGACAAUUUCCAGCCAUCUUUUGAACUCAAAACAGAUUGAUUCCUCUUGUUGAUUAGAUAAAUUUUCAUGUUUGGACCGUUUAAUUUAGUGAAGAAAUGAGAAAGUUAUAAUGAGGCCAAACCACGGUGAUUUAUCCGUCGUGCAAGGUACCAAUCUCUUCGUCUCAUUUAGAAAUACGAUUUCCGUUUUGGAAUCACUUGAUUUCGUUGAGUAUUGACAAAGGACGUUGAAAGGUUGCCCAGAAAUUCUAGCGAAUUUCCCUAUUUCCAGCGGACAGCCGUCUUUUAGGCCAUUUUCUGGCCAUCUCCUGCGACCAUUUGGACUCCAAGUAGGUAUAAUUUUGUUCUACACUUCUCUAGCUUCGAUUUGGUAUAUUAUGGGUCGAAUUGGGUUGAGAAACAAGUGAGAUAUGGAGUUCUAAAGAUUGCCCAGGAAAUCUGCAAAAUAUGCAGAAUCUGGCGAAAUUUCAUUAAGGUUCGCCACUUGAAUAGUAUGGCAAUCGAUGAUCCGACCGUUGGAUCAUCACUAAACAUUAAUACAUUAUAUUAUGUAAUAUUUGAGGACCAAAGGAACUUUCAUAUUGGAAAUCCGACUUACGGAUCUUCCUAAAUUGGAUUUGUAAGUUCGUAAAAUAAAACGUCAGCUGCCACUUAAUUUUGGCAAUUGGCGGGGAUCCGACAGUCGGAUCGUGGUAAUAUUUUAAUAUGUUAUUCUAGAAACAUAAUGUGUAUUUUUGGAAGCUACGGAUCGAAAAUUUGAGAAGCAGAUCUUUCGAAUCGAAUUACGUAGGGUUGUGGACCUUACCGUUGAUCUUUGAUCAAUGGUUGACUUUUGGUCAAUGAGUCUCAAAUCAUUCUAAAACGUCCUUGGGGAUGUGUUUUUUGUAAGUUACGUGUUCUAUUGAUAAGGAUUAUGAGACGUGGGUUGAUAAUUAUUCUAGGCGCCGAUCGUUCAUGACGCCUCGAUAUUUAUGCUAGGGAGUUAUAGCGCGGACUCCAGGUGAGUGGGCUUUUGGUUUUCUAUAUAUACGUAUAUAUGUUUUACAUUUUCCCAGAAAUGGUUUUAAAUGGAUUUACGUUUUUAAAUGCCAUGUCAAUUGCAUUACAUUUUAGUAUAUGCAUUAGUAUAGAUAUGCAUAUUAUUGCAUGACGCUGUGGACGCCUAAGUAAGCUUCAAGUGAGUGCAUAUUGAUGAUAGUAACUGCAAUGUGUAUGGUUAUGUUUAGAUGCAUUUAGUGCUCAUUAUCCUACACCCUGGUGUUAGUGCUCCUGCCCGUGGCCAGGGCACAGUCUUUCACGUGAUGUUCACCUCCUGCACCGCAUGCUUACCUUGGAUCCAAGUUUGGUGCACAGCCCUGUCGUACAUACCAUAUUAGGUGGUUCCGACUCGUAGGUGACUUGCGAUUAUUCGCACAGCCUUCACGUAAUCGUAGCACUUGAGCGUACUUAUUUACACCCUGCCUUGUCGUAUAAACCAUAUUAAGUGGUUCCGACUCGUGUGCAGGAAUUGGUAGAUGAGCUAUAGGCUCAGCCAUACGGUCACAUUAGGUGACUCCGGCUGACAUAUCAAUUUGCAUUGAUUUAUUUCACCUGGUUUACUUAUUUCACUGCUGGGAUACUUGACAUGGCAUAUACUUGGUUUUCACUACUCUCGAGCAUGAUUUCUACAUAAGUAUGUAUCACUAUUUUUUGAAGGGGUUAUUAUGUUCAAAAAAGAGAAAUGUGUUUUCAAAUGUUUUGUUUUUGCCCACUCACCCUUCUGUUUUUCACCCCUCCAGGUUUUAGCUGCUGAAAGUUCGUAUUGACGAGGAUUCUUGGCGAAUCUCAGUAUAGGUGGUUACCUCUGAGGGUAUGAUCUUUACCCACACUAUUGAACUUUACUUAUGCUCUGACGUCGCGUGUGAAAUGGGUCCAUUCCCACUCACAGCGCACUCUUGUCUUUAGGCACUUUUAGGUUUAAAUUUAUUCACAUUUUCCACAUCACUACACUUUAUGGCUUCGUCACCUUCCAGGUGUCGGCCAUCACAGUUCGAUUCGGAGUCCUAGUGGACAUACCGGGUCGAGGUGUGUCAGUUUGGUAUCAGAGCAUAAGUUGGGCAGUAUUGCAUCCAUCACACGCAUGGUGAAAGCAUUUUAGGUUCUUGAGCUUAAUUUCUGAAUCUUCCCACCUCGUCGAAUACGAAAAUGUAUUAGGUUUUUCUAAGUCUUGAGUGACUUAGUCAACUUAUUGACCUUUUAGAAGAUUAUUUUGGCGAACGCCUCUAAAUUAUAAGUGAAGAAUUCCCCUGCCAAGGAAAGAUGUAGAUUUCAGAUAAGUUGAUGGCCCUGAAGCAAGGCUACUAUAUCAAUAGUUGUGCAUCAUGGGAGAAUUACCUACCAAUUCCACUACCAUCUAGUCAUUUCUACCAACUCUUUCGAGAAUGGAAGCUAAGAAUAGUUUUGAUCCCCUGGCAGUAUUUGUUAGUAUACUUUCUAUCGGAAUUCCUACGAAGUUGUACUUUCGUCAAAAUUUCCAGAAUAUCUCUAGUGAUAAGGUGGUGCUAAAAGGGUAGCACUUGACAUAAGAACAUCAGGGGGGACAAUCAUUUUUGGUCCUUGAUAACACUAUUCUUUCCAAACGUACUAGUGAUUUUUUUGGAUCUUCAGAGGGAAGAUCAACUUUCGUCUAAGUCUGUCCUAAAGUAGAUUAUUAGAAAGAAAAAAUUCUGGCCUUAGGACAUUCCAGCCAACGCUAGUUCCUGAGUUUUCUUUUGGUGACAUACUCGUCAUUUCGACAAGCCUAGGCACCGAUAUACAAGUUGUUAUACCUAUAGUUAGUAGACAUCCCUGAAGUAUUUUCUUUAGAAUUAACGAAACCACCUCACCUGGCCAAUUCCUUACCAAUCGUCCAAACCAAUUAUCUAAGUGGGCUCUAGCCUUUGAUCAGCCUAUGGUGGCAUUAAUAAUUGACGACAUUGUCUGAUAUCCAGGAACUGUCAACCAGUAUUCCAGGGGUAUAACUUUUGAUAUUGGACACUGGCUAAUAUCCGGGAGUGUUACCCUUAUGCAAGGACACCAGUUUACAGUUUCAAGAUAUCGAAUAAUAUCAAAAUAUAGAAUAUGCGUCAAUUAACGGUGCGAUUGGUAGACUGAUUAACAGUGACUACUUGAGCCGAAGAAACUAAAUUGUGAAAACUUAGGAGUAGACCUUGUAUUAAGAUAGUAAACUCAUGAUUAUGUUAACCAUAUUACCUAUUUAGAUAAUCAAAACCUCUUCGACUAGCACUUCUCGAUCACUUUCACAGGUAGACAGUAGGAUCAAAAUACAAAAUGACAUCUCACUGUUAGAAUGUUUGGGGUGUUGAGAAAACUGUGAAGACCUUUUAGUUCAUGGAGUAGAGUUAGUUAGUAGUUUAGCACGGUUCGAGAAGGUAUACCUUUGGCAUCAUUUCUCAAAAUUCUACUUGGGAUGCCAUCGAAUGCAAGAAAUGGAAUACACUAGUGAUUCACCUUGUUAACACCACUAUUUUCUGGGAAAUUAUAUGGGUUUUACAGUAACAGGUUAUUAUGUUUAGAAAAGAGAAAUGUGUUUUCAAACGUUUUGUUUUUUACCACUCACCCUUUUGUUUUUCGCCCCUCUAGGUUUUAGCUGCUGAAAGUUCGUAUCGAUGAGGAUUCUUGGCGAAUCUCAGUAUAGGUGGUUACCUCUGAGGGUAUGAUCUUUACCCAUACUACUGUACUUUACUUAUGCUCUGACGUCGCGUGUGAAAUCGGUCCAUUCCCACUCACAGCGCACUCUUGUCUUUAGGCACUUUUAGGUUUAAAUUUAUUCACAUUUUCCAUAUCACUACACUUUAUGGCUUCGUCACCUUUCAGGUAUCGGCUAUCACAGUUCGAUUCGGAGUCCUAGUGGACAUACUGGGUCGAGGUGUGUCAUAAAUACAAUUGUAUUUAUCAUAAAAUAAUUUUAGUGAAAUAUCUGUAAAUUUAUGUAUUUAUUUAGAUGCGGGGUUUACCAAAUUGUUUUUUUAAAUUCACACACUUGAGUGACGAAAUAUAUAAAUUCGUCACGCAGGGUUUUAAUUUUACGCAGAGACACCAUGUUGGGUCCCAUAAAUUCAAUUUUUAAAUUAUUACACAUUCUUGUGCAACGAAUACCAAAAAAUCGUCGCACGAAGCCUAUUUGUGCGAUGAACUUUCAUGUUCAGUCGCGCAAUUUUUAAUAUUUGGCGCAUUAUUAAAUUUUGUCUUGAAAAAUUUAAAUUUCCACGAAAAUUAAAAAAAAAACACCCGAUGACUGUAGGGUUUGCGCGACAGAUGGCUUUGUCGCAUGGAAAACUAAGCGACGUCUGCACGACAAACCGUUUGUCACUCAAAGGUGUUCGUUUUAAUUAUUUCAGACAACCCUCAUCCUUACCCCUCACAUUCUUCUUUCUCUCGCCUAGUGCACUCCUUCUCUCAGACAUAUCCUCCCUCUCUCCCAGCCACCGUCCUCCUCUCUACCACCCACCCUCCCCCUCUCUUACUUGCUCUCUCCCUUAGGGCUGGGUUCAGUUUAAAACGGUUUGGUUUUUUGCCAAAAUCGAAACCAAACCGAAAUUUCGGUUUAGUUCGGUUCAUUUUUUUUUCCCGUUCAAUUUUGGUUCUAUUUUUUUUAAUUUUUUUUAAUAAAUUUUUAUCUUUUUUUAAUUCACAUAGUAAAAAGAAUAACUCUAAACCUGUAACCAAAUAACCAAACUCCCCUACAUUCCACUCACAUCCGUCCCUCUCUCAUCCCCAACCAUGACACAGAUCUCAAAUCCAACCUAAAUUUCUCCAUUAAUUUGUCUUCUCCAUCGAACCCAAACCUGCCCACUCAUACCCAAACCUCUCGUUAGCCAUGACAGCCCGUCCUGAAUUAUUUUAUCCUCGAUAGCAUGGAAAUUCCUUUUAUACCCUUGGACGUUGAGCACAUUGUGUAGUGGUGUGGUUUGAGUUUGGGUUUGGGUUUUAGUUUUUGGACCUUAAAGUUAAUGGUUUUGUUGUUGUUAGUAACCCAAAGCUAGACCACACACACUCACACACACACACACCCAUACCCUUACCCGUUGACCUUUCUCUCUCCUCUCUCUCUCUCGAUUUUCAACCAUUAUCCGUACAAUUGUAUGGUCAACUUGUCAACCAAUCAAUUCAGGCACAUAUUGAGGUUUUGGAAGCCAUCUUCAUGUUCCUUGUGAGCUGAGGAACACACCUAUACCAUUUUUAGAACGUGAAUCCUUCGAAAACCCGAGAACCCAUAAGUCCCAGAUUUUGAGCACUGUUGAUGUGAUCGUGAUCGUGGAAUUUUUAGUGAGUUUUAAGGUCCUAAGAAGCUUUAGAACUUCUUCACGGAGCUCGGGGAAGAAAGUUGGAGUGUUUUGGAUGUCGGGAAGCUUAGUUUGAAGAGUUUCAAUUUUGGCCGGAUUAUCAAGGUUUCUCCGGCGAGAUUCCGUGGAUUUCAAAGCUUGAAAGUGGUAAGAAUGUGUUCUACUCACUCUAAGCUUCAUUUUGAGACAAAUUUCAUGGAUUUUGGUGCAAAAAUGAAGAAGAUAUAAAGUUAUAAAGUUUUUCCAGAAACCGGUGAUCGCAGCGGCGCCGACGAUGGUCUCCGACGAAACAAGGAAGACAAAGGGGAAUAUUCCAUCAAGUCUGACAGAAUAUUCUAACGGCGUCAGGUAACGCCAUUAAAUUCUGUUAAGGUUUUAACAAAAUAUUUUAAACGACAGUUAAGUUUCCGUCAGGGUUGGCUGUGCGUGGGGGCGCAUCUAGCCGUGCCUUGGUAGGCGCGUGGAUGGUCAGAAAUUUUUUCUAAAAAUAUGGGGAUGUUCCUGAGGUUGAGUAGGUCUUGGUGGUAUAUUCAAAUACCCCAUUUGAGCAAUGUAUGAGAAGUUAUUUCCUAGUUUUGUGUAUGUGUUUUUAAUAACAUUUAUUUAGGAAUUUCGCAUAUAGGUGAGACCUAUCCGGAGGACGAGCGCCAUCAAUCAAGGCUUGGGGGCUACGACCUUUCGACAUAUCAGUGAGUGGGCUUUUGGUUUUCCGUAUAUACCUAUAUACUUGAGAUUUUUCCUAGAAAAUGAAUUUGAAUAAUUAUACGUUUUGAAAUUCCAUGCAAAGUAUCUGCCUAUUUUAUUUAUGCAUUAGUAGUUGCUUAUAUUUAUGAUUGGUGCUGCAGAUGCACAGGUAAGUGCUGGGUAAGUUCAUAAAUUAAAGAUAUGAGAUUGCUUUAGUUAUGCGAGAUAUGAUGUGAUGCAUUGAGAGCUUAUAAACCUGCACCCCGGUGUUAGUGCUACCGUCCAGAGUUAGGGCACAGUCCUUCACGUGAUGUUCACCUCCCGCACCAUAUGCUCACAUUGGAUCCAAGUUAGGUGCACAGGCUUGUCGUACAAACCACUUUAGAUGGUUCCGACUCGUAGUUGACCCACGAUCAUUCGCACAGUCUUCACGUGAUCGUAGCACUAGAGCAUAUUUAUUUUAUACAUAGUCCUGUCACACAGACCACUUUAGGUGGUUCCGACUCAUGUGCAGGAUUUAUAUGAUUGAGAUUGGUUAUGAGCUAUAGAUUUAGCCGUGCCAGUCACGUUGGGUGGAUCCGGCUGAUAUGAUAUCUGGCAUUGAUACAUUUAACUGGAUUACUUAUGGCAUUUCAUUGAGAUACUUUGGCACGGUAUAUUUCUAUGGACUUUCAUCCUGAGCAUGAUUUCUGAUAUAGCAUAUAGUAUUAUUUUUCUGGGAAAUUAUACCGGUGUUACACCGAGGGGUUAGAACUUUUGAGGAAAUGAUUUUGAAAAGCUUUGUUUUUGCCCACUCACACUUUCUGUUUUGUGCCCCUCCAGGUUUUAAGUAGAAGUGCUUUGGUGGCUCACGGAGAUUUUGUCGGUGGUUUUGACAGAACAUCACAAAUGUAAGAUCACCUUUGGGUGUUGUAUAAUUAGUACUUGUCUAGUACUCUAGUUGAUUUGGUUUUUGUUUAUUGCAUUUCCUUAUAUCUCUAUUGCUUCCGCACUGUGCACAUGGCUACGUCACCCUUAUGUGAUGACCAUCAUGCCUCGAUUUAGGUCGUGAUGUGUCACAUUCACUGGCAAAAGGCAAAAACUAGAAACCAUCUCAAACUAGAAGAAGAAAUAAAACAAGAAAACAGAAACAUAUAAGUAAAACAGAGGAAAAAGUCAGACCUAUGUAUCCCGAAUUCCAAGACCGGCAGCCAAAAGAACCAUAAGAUCAAAACCUUUCAUCAAAAAAUUGCGAUACCACUUCCUCUGAAACAUUAAGUUAACUUGCUUAGUUAAAAUAUUUUAAGCAUAAGAAGAAUUAAAAUUAAAUAUAGCUGCAAGCAGGAUAAGCAAAACUCAAGUGUAGCCAAGGUUUUCCCCUCAAGAUAAGAAUGAGAACCAAAUGCAGCAAUGGGGAUAUCAGAUAUCUAAAACUUGAAUUACCUGCAGACAAGUCCCUAAACUUAUUUUGUUUUGAAACUGCCCGAAUCUGGAAUGAAACCUGAAAUAGGAGUGACAGCUACGUUAGAAUUUUACCAACAACUGGAAGCAAAUGUCGGAUGGAAAAAAGAUUAUCAGGAUGCUUCGGUACAAACCAAGAUUCCAAGAGGUGAAAACUGAAAUAGGAGUGACAGCUAUGGUUUGUAAACUUAAGAAAUUUUAUAAAGCAUUAAAGAUUAGAAUACCUAUAAUACCUUACUCGUACAAUUAUAACAACACAAAGCCUACAGUCAAGAUGGCUUGAAGCAACUAUCCUCAACCUGGAGGGAAGGGGUUCUAGAAAUGUUGUAUAAUUAAAAUUACAUUUAGUUCAUGGUUGAGUUAGGAGGACCCGAUAUGGCACAGGCGCCAACAUCAUUAACGUCUUCAAUGGCGCUUCCGCCUAGUGCAUGUCAUACUUACCGGCAUGGCCGGACUCCCGACACGGCAUUUGAUGCCACCCACCCAGGUAAAAUGACAAAAUCCAUUUAAUUUAGCUAAUUCAAAUGUAGUUAUUUGCUACUUUAACAAAAAAAUUGGAGAAGAAAAAUCUAAACAUAGCUAAAUAACUAGUUAAAUAUAUGGGUAAAUUACAAAAAACUAUCUCAACUAUGGGUCGAACGUCAAUCUCAUUCCUCAUGUUUGAAAAUGACAAUGUCAUACCUCAUCUUAUGAAUUUGUUUCAAUGUCAUGCCUCCGUCAGUUUUUCUGCUAAGUUUGAUUGUUAAAUUAUAAGCUGGCAAGCGUGGGACCCACAUUCUUACGCAACUAAAUUAAAAAAUUAAUUAAAUACUAAUAAAUAUAUUUCAACAAAAAAUAAACUAAUAAAUAUAGAAAAUCAUUUAAAAAUUUAUUAAGAAAUUGUGGGAUCCACCUCGAUACCCCACCUUUUCCCAUCCCCUACCUUGACCCUCUUUCUGCUCCAGAACCCUUUCCUUUUUUUCCUUUGCAAUUCUCCCCCGCAGCCCCCAACAACACUCACUCACUCACUCACUCACUCAUUCUCUUCCUCGCUCCCUUUUUAUCUUCUCAACGCAACAAACCAACAUAACAUCAUCAUCACUAAAAUCCUAAAAUCCAAAGCUAAACCAAAAAGUUGCAGGUUGGACUUGAGAAGGAAUUACCAUGGUAUUCACCUCUAACCCUUUAUCUCUCAACGUCCCCGACCCUUUCUUCGAGUCAUGGCUCCGUGAUAACGGCUACCUAGAAAUCAUCAACCAGCAAACCUCCACCGCCAUCACCAUCUCCUUCGCCGCCACCUGACGUGGCCUUGAUCACAAACGACUUCUUCAUCUCACUUUUCUCUAGUAUUUUCACCCUUCUCUCUCUCUUCACCCCUUCUCCAAGCUCACUAAUGAGGACUUUGCCGCCCAGACACCGCUGUGACCACCGCCUUUAUUGGGUCCUUUAAAUCCUACUUUUUCCCUGUUUGUCCCUCUGCCUAUUUGUGCUCUUCUUUGGUUGCUCUUUAUAUGCUCUCUCUUUGUAUGUAUAUGUAUGUAUUUUUCUUGGGUGAGUUUAGAGGAUUGGGUUUGGGGGGAAUUGGGGUUUUCUGUUUGAAAUUGGGGAAUUAGGGUUAAGGUUUGGGUCUUCUUUGCCAUCAGAAACUACCACCCUCAUCACCUUCCAGUUAGACUAACUCAUGAGACUUUGAGCAGGAAAUCGAGAGGUCGAGAGCAGAGCCAAAUCAGUGGGGAUGAUUAUGUUGGACUAACGAUGGUCAGAUCUGUUGUGAAUGGGGAUAGGUGUGGGGUCCACGGUGAAUCAGACGGAGGAGAAAGGUCGGAUAAGGGACUGGGUGAAGAGAAUGUAGGAAGGUGAUGGGUGUGUAGGAGGGGAAGGGGAUCUGGGUGUGGGUUUGGUAUUUUUGGUCUUGUUUUUUUUUGGUGUGGGAUCUGGGUGUGGGCUUGGUUUUUUUGGUUUCUUCAGGGGGUGGUGAAGAUGGAGGAGACGGUGUGGAUGUGAAGGAUGGAGGAAGGUUAGGGGACGAGGCAGGGUUUGGUGGCUGUUAAAGAAAAAAAGAAAAAAGGUUGGUGCGGGUGGAGGAAAGGGAAGGCCGGAUCCCUAGGCCAUUUUUAUUUUUUUUUUUAGUUUUUUUAUAUUUAAUUUAUUUAAUAUUUUAAUAUUUAAUUAUUUUUUUAAUCUAGUGGGAUUAGUGAGUGGACUUCGUCUCUAGCCAUGUCAGCAGUUAACAGAGAAAUUAACAGAAAAACUGACUGAGGUCUGACAUUGGCACAAAUUCGUAAGAUGAGGUAUGACAUUGUCACUUUUAAAAGAUGAGGUAUGAUAGUGUCGUUCGACCCAUAGUUGAGGUAGUUUUUUGUCAUUUACCCUAAAUAUAUUUACAAAACUUGAUUUUUGUCUUAAAAAAGAUGUGUUCAUAAUUUUUCGUCCCUUAAAAAAUUGUUCACAAUGUUGCUUGCCUGUGUGCUUUAUUGUUUAUUACGGUUUGUGACACACCCCGACCUGGGAUGUCCACUGGGACUCUGAAUCGAGUUAUGUUGGCCGACACCAUGAUGGUGACGAAGCCAUAAAGUGUGGUGAUGUGGAAAAUGUGAAUAAAUUUAAACCUAAAAGUGCCUAAAUGGAAAAGUGCCCUUGUGAGCGGAAAUGAAUCCAUUUCACACGUGAUAUCAGAGCAUAAGUAAAGUACAAUAAAGUAGGAUGAGAAUUAUACCAUCAAAGGUAGCCACCUAUACUGAGAUUUGCCAAGAAUCCUCGUCGACAUGAAAGUUCAGUCUGAAACCUGGAAGGGCGAAAAACAAGGGUGAGUGGGCCUAAAAACAAACCUUUGUAAAAACCUUUUUAAAAACAUAAUAAUCACUCGCUGUAAAAUAAGUAUAGUUUACAAAAUAUACAUACUACGUAUAGUAAGAAAUUACUUAUCGUGGCCUGCAAAAUCUCAAGAAUUCAAUACAACACAAAUUUCGUAAGUAAGCACAUGAGGUUUGUUAUCACAUAAUCUCGUACAAGCAAACAUAUCAUAACGAAUGAUCAUAGACACAUGCUGACACAUGAGUUCAUGCAUAGGUAUUCUAACAUGAACAUGAGUGGGUGUAAUAAUGAUUUACACUCUAGUAAUACAAUUACUUGAAGACUGACGCUAUGUGCAGCACAUAUGAGUCUUAAUUCCUUUGCAAUCUAGGAUAUGACUAGCACCUACAAUGGAUCCAAUGUGAGCAUACAGUGCGAUGUGCAUAUACACGUGAAAGACUGGCCCUGGCCCGAGCAAGUACUAACAUCAGUGUAGCAAAUGAUGAGCAUAUAACAUAAAUAUAAUCAUACAAUGAUAAAUCGAUAAUUCACAUCAUUGUAAUACUAUUCAUGGCCAUAAAUAUAAUUAAGGCAUCAAUAAUAAUACGCAUACUUGUGCAUCCCGUAGGAUGUAGCAUAACUUCAUAAUUUCUAUUAAUGUGCUAAAUCUUAUAAACGUCAUGCUAAUCUAGGCGUAUUGUAGAAAACUCUUUAUGAAAUGUAUAAAUGGAAACUAACAAUUAUAUAUAUAUACUAUAAAAAGGAAAAGACCCACUCACAGAUACUGGCAAGGACAUUAGUAAAACUCAAUUAAAACAUUUGAAUUUGGAGAAACAGACUAUGGAUUCAGAAUCAGCGGGUCGAAAUACGCUAAGAAGGGUCCCGGGGAAUUUUCGUAAAAAUUCAAUGAAAAGUCAACGGUCAACCCUAAAAAGUCAACCAAGAUGCCCCGGUGGUCAUCUACAUUAAAACUUUGGAAUUUCACUAAAUGGAUGUCAAAAUGGACUCGGGACGUCGAAAUUAGGCUAGGAGGGUUUCCGAGAAAAUUUCGAAAAGUCAAUAAAAGUCAACUAACGGUCAACAAUUAACUUUAAUAGAAUAUUCCAUUCUCAAAUGGAAUAUCCUAUUAAAGUUAACAGAACAUUCCAAAGGAAAAUUCCUUCCAGAUUUUGAAAUGGGAAUGGGCCGGAAAGGUUUAUGGGCCAAAGGCUUGGAUUAGGUUUUGGGCUUAAGGCCCUUUUUAAAAUUUUUUUUUUUAAGCUGGGUUGGGUUGACCCGUGGGCUCACGGGUUGCACCCGCUGGACCCAGUGAAGGAAGACACCAGAUUUUUGGCUAGAAAACUUCUCCGGCUUCCUUUAGCUUCGAAACUCAACAAAAAUCCACCAUUAAAAAUACCAACAUGAAGCUAGGAAAGUAAGGAUUCAAAUUAUACCAUCUUGCUUCUCAAGCAUGGUUGAAAAAUGGUCUGUAACUUGCAGACUCACCAGAAUUUGGGGAGAAGUCCCCACAUCUUCUUUGUGAAAUUCACCUAUCCAAAACACAUCCCCCACGAUCAAUAAUAACUAUGAGGAUAAAAAGGAAAACAUUUAGAGAGUUCAGAGGCUUACCAAGAACAUAAACUAUGAAAUCUCACCAGAGGGCUACUAAGAUUAUGGAUGUUUCUGUGCAGUGGGCCGACGGUGAAUGAGAGAAAAACAUAAGAGGGAGAGAGGGUGAGACAUAAUGGUGUGGCCUGAGGACUCGUCAGAGUGUUCAUCCUUGUAUGUGGCUGGUGAUGGUGGUUUGCCACAUGGUAUGUCAGUGUUGCAGGUUAAGGAGAUAGCUAAGGGAGAAAGAGAAGUCGAGAGAGGAAAGAUAGUUGAAAGGGUUAAAGGGAAGAAGGGUGAGUUAGCAGCCAAUGAGUGGAGAAAGUAAGGUGAGGGAAAUUUGAAAGAAAAAUGGGAUAGUCUUGAGACAGGGAGACACGGAAAAGAAGGGAAGGAAUGGGGCAUGAGACUCACAUGGUACACAGGCUAAGCCAAAAGACAAAGUCAAAUUAUCUCCCAUAAAUGUGAAAUUACUAAAACACCCUUUAUGAUCGUAGUUCCGUAAAAUCUUCAUCAUAACUCCAAUUUCAAUUUCGCUUGCACCUACGCGUUUGUAUCGUCAAGUGCUUCAGGAGUACAGUAAAGUAAUAGCUUAUACAAGUCACGAACCAAUGGUCAACAAAAGUCAAUAAUCUCGCCUCUAGGGCAUUUUCGUCAAUUCACGCUUUUAAAAUUUAUAAAAACUUAAAAUUAGGGACGGGUUGUCAUAGUUUGCAAGUUAUGGGAAUUGGUAUAAAUGUAGGGGAGGUUAUGUCGAAAUUUUGGUAAAUUUUUAACUUAAUGUUUGACAUUUGUUUUGUUGUUUUGCAGCUAAGAAAAACACCUAGAGACCUUGCCGAUAGCUGAAGAUGAGGUAGGUCACUCAGGUGACUGAUAAGAGCAUAUUUAUCCGCCUUAGUUAGCUAGUUCUUAUGCAUUUUCGUUAUGUUUUCUUAGUUAAAGUAGUCUUUUAAGCUAUUUUCAUGUGUUUUUAGGUUUUAAGGGCAUAUUAUACAAAAUGAUGCAAAUUGGAGCUUUUUGGAGCAAAAUGGAGUUUGGAAUAGAUGUCACAUACUUGGAGCCAAAAGGUUUGGAAGAAAUUGAAGAUUUGAAGAUUUGAGGAUUCCUAGUCACAGUAGGAGUCCUAAUUGAAGAAGGAUUCCUAAUCAAUGAAGGAUUCCUAGUUGAAGAUGGAUUCCUAGAAGAAGGAAGAUUCUUACUCAAACAAGGUUUCCUACUUGAAGUAGGAAAGGUAAACCUAAUUGGCCUUGAGUUUCAGCAACAAAUAAGUUUUCCAAGUCAAAGAAGGAAAAGGUUUCCAAGAAGAAGAAGGAUUGAUCAAGCCAAGCUUUCCUAUUCCUAAUGUGCAAAGGUUUCAGUUACAAAGAGGAGUCCUAAACAUUUUAGGACACCUUAAUCCUUGUUCUAGAAAGAUGUCAAACCAAUUUCAGCAAGGAACCCUCCCAUGCCGUGAAUAACCUUAUCUAGAACCUAUUUUCUUGCCUUGCAAGGCUUUCUAGAAGCCUUAUCCUACCCUAUCCUUAUCUGCUGCACCCUUUUAGCCUAUUCCCUUGUGAAUUCUAAUUUCUAAGCUUUUUUCCUUAUGGAUUUGGGUUAUCCAAGUCCAUAUCUGAUUACCCUAGUGUUUUAGGUGCCUAUAUAUACUCAUAUCUCAACCCUAGCCGAACCACCACCCCCUAUAUUCACAAUUCACAUCAGAAAACUCAUCACAUCCUUUGCCGCAGCCAUCACUCAUCAUCCACCAUAAUUCCUGAACCUCAAACACCUUUGCCACACCUUCCAUUCCCCCUAAACACUACUAUACCAUCUCCUACCCAUUCAUCCAUACAAAUAACCCCUAGAACCUGACCUUAGACCAUGUGCCACAGCAAAGAGGAGGAGGAUAAGCUUGGACGUGCAUGCCAUUCAAUUGUGGAGUGCUAGACGUUUUAGGUGUUGUCUUUCCUUUGAUUUCAAUGUUUAAAUUUAUUUGUCUUUGCUUUGUGCGUAUGAGGAACUAAACCCCCAUUGGCUAGGGGGGAUUCGAAACCAUGUUUAUGCUUGCUAUAUGAUUUGAUUACUUCUAAUUGCGUUUCAUAAGUUGUGAAUUCAAUUUACUUAUCUUUAUGAAUUAAAAUUGAUUUGUGUGUGUUGGUUGAGAGUGCACGCUUAAUUUUCAUGCAUAAGUUUGAUGCUAGGAUAUAAGGAAAUUUCACCUAAUCGUUACGAACUUAUAUUCAAAUGUAGUAAAGGUUGUUGAUCACAAUUGUGUUAAGUAAAUUCUUGGCAUAAGUUUCAUGCAAUUCAUAGUAACAAGUGCCUCGCCAAUGCUUAUGAUUUUCAUAGAACUUAAUGAUCUUUGCUUGUAUCUUUGUUAUGCAAUUCAUGCAGGGAACUUGUGAGGAAUGCUUUGGGUUGUCGUAUGCAAUUCAUCCAAUUCGAUAACUUUAGGAAAAUCUGAGGGUUAAUUAGUGCAAUUCACGGUUAAUUUGGGUCGUUGGGAAUUCAUGGUUUAUUGAGAAGCAAUUGGAAAUCGUUUUGUAUGCAAGUGUGACAUGUGUGGAGAAGAACCCCUUAGCUAGCUUUCCAUCCAUUCACUUUUAUCAAAUUCGUUUUAAAAUCUGUUCAAGUUACAAAGUUUCUGUUUUGUUUUUAAUUUCGUCAAAACCAAAUCCCCCUUAUUUUGUUGAGUCAUCUUAGUUAGAAAUCAAUUUAAUUUGUGUUUUUAAGUGUCUUGAGUCAAGUUAUAACCUAUUUUCGUCCAAAUGUGUGUUUUGUGUUCAAAACUGCCUAGAUUGUGUUUUUAAGGCAGUUUGGAGUGUUUUUGGGCUGUUUUGAGUCUUUUGGUUUGUUUUAGUGUUUUAGAGUUUAGUUUUGCAUUCUUUGAGUCUAGUUUAGUGUUUUAAACUUUGUUUUUACAUUUUUGAGUCAGUUUUCCAGUGAUUUAGCAAUCCCUCCUAAUCCCCCGCCUAGAACGAUCCCUACUUACAUACUUUGCUACAAUUGAUAAAAGAGGGUUUAAUUUGUGUGCUUAUAUAUUUCGCAUCAGUGACAAAUGAUCGUAUCAUGAUAGGAUACGACGAGAGGCAUCGGGCUACACCUACAACGGCGUAACAUAGUGCAUUGGACCACGACGUGGGACAUGUUGUUAGGACUGAGUGCCCUAUGUUAUGGAAAUCGUGGCGUAAGAUCCUAGCGAAGACGAAGAACCUGGUUCGCAACUGUUAAUUGAUAAGUUCCUAACUUUGGUUUAUUCAAUUAUAUGUCAAGUUUAUAUUUUUUAUAUUACUCUUUUUCCUUUUUCAACUUUGACUUCAAUUUUAAUUUUGGUUUUUUUUAUAUUUUAAUUUAAUACUUGGUAAAUUGUAGACAAACUACAAUUUUGACAACAUAAACGAGUCGAUUGACAACUACCUGGACAAGUUGUUUACGAGUGGUACAAGUAGUGGAAGAGCGACCUCCACAAACAUUAUGAGUUGUUUGAUGAUCCAGAGGUCACUUUAGAGGAGGGUUGCCCGCUGGAGUUGGAGGAUCGGCCGGACUAGUGGGCGUCGCUCUACAGCCAUUUUCAAGAGCCCGCCUAUGUGGUACAUUUUUCUAUAUGGAACUUUAAUGAAAAGCUCCCAGUACUGUUCACUUUAAUGAAAAACCAUAUUUUUACAAUAAAAAGUCAAUCAUGGUACUAUUCAUUUUACCCUUUAUUUUGUCCUUAUUGUCACAGCCCGUUCCAAAUUAUUAUAUUCGUGGCUGUGAAUGAACGAAAUUGCCCUUAAGAAAUACUAAAUUUGUGAAGCUCAGGUUGCUAAUUAUCUAGGUUCCUAAGUUUGAAAAUAAAAUGGAAUUUAAUAAGGAUGGAACUUAGAUUUUUAGGUUAAAAUGUUAAAGUUUGGUGUUUGGAGAUUGGAAUAAGGACCACGUGGGAUCCCCACAUCCCUCAAAACCCUCCUCAUUUCCCGUUCACUGUCUUUCUCUCUCCUCCUUCACGAUUUCUCACUCUCUCUGUCUCUCUCCUUCGAACUCACACGGACCACCACCAAAACCACCCUAAAUCUAUACCAACGUCAAGUUUGAGACCACCAUUGGAAUCCUGAGGACUUCACGAUCACGUUGGUAUCCAUUUCAGGUAAGUUUUUACUUCGGAAAACCUAGAUUCUAAACUCCCCAUGAAAGUGUACUGUUCAUGAGCUUUGAAUUGGUUGAUUUUUAGGACAAUCCAAGCUCAUAGUGAGCUUAGUGAGGUCCCAAGGAAGCUCGGAGUGCUUCGUUGGAAGUUUUUGGACGUAAGAACACGGAGAUCGACAAGUUCAAAAUUUGGCCGGAGCUUUCGAGGCGUUUUCCGGCGAAUCCCCGGCGAUUUAGGAGUCGAAGUAGGUAUCAAUCUCUUCGUCUCGUCAAGUACUACAAUUUUCCUUUUUGUUUCACUCAAUUUCGUUGAGUAUUGAAGAAGUUAUACUCAUUUGAAAAAUACCCAGUUUCCGGCGACCUCCGAGGCUUUCGAGACAGUUUCCGGCCAAACCACGGCGAACUAGGUGUUGUGCAAGGUACCAUUAUCUUUGUCUCUUCAAGGGCUACAACUUUCGUUUUUGAAUCACUUGAUUUCGUUGAGAAAUGACAAAGUUAUGGCAAUUUGAAAAACUGUUCAGAAAACGGCCGCCGGAAAAACCAGUCCGGCGACCCAAGGAAGAAGAAGGUGCUACAGUAAAAAUAAAAAAUAAAAAUAAAAUUAUUUUAAAAAAUAUGUCGACGUCCGUGACGUCGAGUAGAUCACUGUGGUAUAUUCAUAUACCUAAAUUGAACACCGUAUGAGAAAGUUAUUGAAGAUUGUUGGUUAGGUGUUCAAAUAACGUUUUAUAGUUUUCACAUUUAGGUGAAAAUGUGAAUUGAUGAUCCGACCGUUGGAUCAUCACCAAACUUUGAUACGUUAUAGUACGUAAUAUUUGAGGAUUAUUGGAACUUACGGAUUGGGAAUCCGAGUUACGGAUCUUCCGGAAUUGGAAUUGUAAGUCCAUAAUAUAAAAUGUUAACCGUCACUUAGUUUUGGAAAUUGACGGAGAUCCGACCGUUGGAUGGUAAUGAAAUUUUAGGAUGUUGUCCUAGAGGUAUAAUGUGGACCUCUGGAAGUUAUGGAUUUAAAAUCUGAGUGGCAGAUCUUCCGGAUCGAUCAACGUAGUGACGUAUUUUAUAUAAGUUAUGUAUUCUAUCGAUAUGAAUUCUGAGCCUGGAUUUGAUUACUAUUCUAGGCGGCGAUCGUCAUGACGCCUUGAUGUGUGGUGCUAGGGAGUUGUUGGACGAACUCCAGGUGAGUGGGCAGUUUUGUUUUCCGUAUAUAUAUAUACUUGACGUUUCCCAGAAAUUGAAUUGAAAUGAAAAUAUGUUUAAAAUGAAAUGCAUAUGAGUUAUGUGGAAAAACGGGAAGUGAAAUACCAUGCAUAGAAUUGAUAUGAAAAGUAUAUAGAAAUGUGAGUUGAAAUGCCAUGCAUGAAUUAAUAUAUGAUGCAUAUGUAUGAAUUGGUGCGGUGGACGCACAGGUAAGAAUUGAUUUAUGAUGCAUAUGUAUGAAUUGGUGCGGUGGACGCACAUGUAAGAAUUGAUUUAUGAUGCAUAUGUAUGAAAUGGUGCGGUGGACGCACAGAUGAGUAUUUAAUUACUGUUAUGAUGAUGAUGAUAUAUAUUGAGCUCAAAUCCUGCACCAUGGUUUAGUGCUUAUAGUAUUCACCGCAUCGCACGCUCGCCUUGGAUCCAAGUAGAUGCUAGUCGUACAGUCCACGCGGAGUGGGUACGACAGACCAGUCGCGAGAGUGUUAGUGAGAUUCCGACUGGUGGGUGACCUUAGAUUAUGUGCACAGAUGAUUUAUGAGAAGCACUAGAGCGUAACUUGCGUGCAGAAGGCCGGACGGGUCACAGAGGUGACUCCGGUAGAGUGAUAAUGAUAGAUUUUGAGCUCUAGGUUCAACCGUAUAGGGCUAUUAGAGGGCCUACGGUUGAUUACUUUCUUGCACCUGAUAUGAUUAUGUUGAUGCAUUCAUACCUUAUUACUGUUGAGAUGAUGUGGCAUGGCAUAAUUAAUAUGAGAAAUGUUGAGAUGACAUGGCAUGGCAUGAUUGAUAAAGAGAUAAUGUUGAGAUAGUAAAAAUGAAGUUUUGAGAAUAUAUAUGUAUAUUUAUAUUUUACAUUUCUGGGAAAGUAUACAGGUUUUACGGAGAGGGGUUACAACGUUUUGAGAAAUGUUUGGAUUUGGAAAAGAAUUGUUUUACUGACCCACUCAAUUUUGGUUUUGCGCCCCUCCAGGUUCAGGAAUCACAAAGGUGUGGUGACUACGAGGAAUUCGACGGUGUUCUGACAGAUUGGACAAAAUUAGGACUCACCUUCGGGUGUAUCAACUUAUAAAUUGUAUAAUUAAAGCUUCCGUACUGUGCAAAUGGUUACGUCACUCUCACGUGACGGCCAGCAUGCCCUCCUUCGGGACGGGGUGUGUCAGUUGGUAUCAGAGCAUGGUUGCAAUCUUGGACAUUUUGAGAAGUUCUAGUGAAUUCUGUCAGAACUACACCGCCUCGUAGCAAACCACGUAGUUAGAGGAACUUAGUCUCCCCGAUUUAGCGGGUUGGGGGAAACUAUUAUUAUGGUGAUUCGGUAUAUUAUCAAAAUGGACAUUUUAAGACGGGUUAUGAGUUGAAUUUGAAUCACCUUAUGAAAUGAUGAACCUGAGGGAGCGAAGUAACGGUUUAACCAUUUGGAAAAGAUGUUUCAGGUUAUGCAAGUCAAAGGAAAUUUCCUUCUGACAGGUGGGUCGAGACGACUACCUGGUUUUGGGUAUGAAUUUGCAUCCUGGUGGAAACAGGAAUGUUAAUUGUUGUCACCAGAGGAAUCAGCCGAUUUAAAAUUUUUUAAGGAAAAGUUUAUCCCUCCGGCAUUUAUCGAUGGUAGUAAACAAGAGUUUACAAAUAUGAGACAAGGAAGGUGAUGAUCGAGGGAUAUUAUAGAAAGUUUUCAGACUUGCCUCGUUCCAUCCAGAUAUUGUUGUUAAUUUGGUGGAGGUGUUAUGUUGUUUUAAGCUGGGUGGCAAAAAGGGAAGUGGUAUUUUGGGUGACCACUAUCCAUUGUACUUCUUACCAGGAGUAUACAAGAUGUUGUUGAGCCUUGAGGACUCUGAGAACAUGAGCAACGAGAAUAAAGAAGAAUAAGAAAAGAAUGGGAAUUAAAAGAAGACGAUAAAGUUAAUGAUUCGUCAUAUCAAGGAUAUAGAAAGAUUCAGAGCUUCGAAAGAAGUGAAGCUAGAGUUAAUUUUUCCAGCUGAGGUUUUAAUGUCGCUGGUCAGAAUAAAAGUGAUGGAUAUACUGGUAAUCCCCGAUAUUUGAGACAAGGUGUCUCGAGUAAAGGAAAUGUACUUUGUGCAGCAUGUACAAAAUUAACACUUUGGGAAAUGUGAAAUUAAUGAAUGUGUUUAUGUGAACAGAAGGGACACAGAGUUGUGAAUCGUCCCUAGAAUCAGUUGUACUCAACAAUUUUCCAUGAAAUCAUAGUGUCGAUUCAGCAGAGUUAUGGAUUUAGUAGUUUGGUCGGAUUGACCGUGAGUACAGAGAUAUUUGAUGAGUUAUAUGUUCAGCCGUACGGACCAUGAGAAAUGGAUUUGACUGACACAUGAGAAAUUGGUGAGUUAUAGGCUCGGCCGUACCGACCACGCGGAGUGGAUCCGGCCGACGUAUUAUUGAGAUAAGAGUUGAAUCAGUCGUAUUGAUCAUUCUAGUUGACUUCGGCUGAUAUAUUUCUUAUUAUGUAUGUUAUUACCUUGAGAGUAGUAAAUAAAUGUAGUUGAGAUGAAUGUAUGUAUUUUGCAUUGAGUGACAAAAUAGUAAUGUUAUAUCUUUGAGAGUGGUUGCCUACUUAUCGAGACAACGAUGAUUUAUCAGUAUUGCGGGCUGCAGACCGUAAUAUUAAUAACUCAUUCGUGGAUUCGUUAAGCAAGCAAACCGGUAGAUUAUUUUAUGUUAGUAUUGUACUUAUUUGGAAUGCUUAAUAAUAAUAGAAUAUAUAUUGUAUCAGUUAAUUCUGUUUCCAUUAGAUUGGUUGGUUAUAAUUGUGACAAGACGAAAUGUUAUGGGAAACCAGUACUUUCCAUCGAUCUGGAUGAACAGAGAUUACUUUUGUAAGUAUGCAAAAUGGAUUGAGUCAGGCUGUUAUUUAUGCUGUGAGAGCAAAGAGAUUGUUUUCGAAAGGCUGUCAAAAAUACUUAGCUCAUGUGGUGCUAAAUGAUGUUGUUUGGAGUAGUGUGAAUAAUGUCGAAAGAGUUAGACUUUUCUUGAUGUCUUCCUUGAAAGUAUACCUGGAUUGCCUUCAGGCAGAGAUAUGAGGUUCAUUAUUGAUUUGUUGCCAGGUAUAAAUUUAUAUUGGAGAUUGGUUCAGGAUGAGUUAAGGGAAUUGGAAAUUCAGUUGAGAGAAUUGGUUGAUAAAAGUUUUAUUCAACCUAGUACAACACUUUUGAGGAGCCCAGUUUGUUGGUGAGGAAGAAAAAUGGAUCUUGAGACUGUUCAUUGAUUAUAGACAAUGGAGUCGGGUAACGAUUGAGAACCGUUAUCCAUGGUGAUGUACUGAUGUUUAUUUAACCAGCUCAGAAGUAAUUGCGAAGAUUCAAAGAUUGAAUUGAGAUCUGGUUACUACCAAUUGAAUAUUAUAAGUGACGUUGAUCAUAAGAUGGUUUUCUGGACUUGUUAUAGUUUUUAUGAAGUUUGGUGAUGCUAUAUGGAUACUCAUGCUGUUUUAUGAGUUAUUGGAUGAAGUAUUCCAAUAAUGCCUUGAUAAAUAGAUAUCAUUUUCAUUGAAGAUAUUCUGGUAUACUCUAAGCCUAGAGCAGAGCAUGUAAACGUAUUAAGUCAAUGAAGCAAAGAUUGAGAGAACGUUAGUUGUAUGCUAAGUUUAGCAAAAGCUAAAGUUAAAUGGAUCAAGUGGCAUUCUAAAAUUUGUUAUGUCUGCUUAAGGUAUUCAAGUGAAUCCUUAAAGGAUAGCAGAAAUUGAGAAUUUGGAACAACCACGAGUCGUAAUUGAGAUUUGGAAUUUCUUAGCUUACCAGGCUAUUUUGGAUGGUUGUGAAAGAAUUUUUAGUCAUUGCGUUGUCAUUAACGAGACUGAUGAGAAAAGAGGUUAUGUAUGAGUGGGAAGGAAUUGUAAGCAAAGGAUUCAACAACUGAAGUAUUUCCUCACUCAUGCACGUAUUUUAAUAUUCCCAGAAGAUAGCGAUAAUUAUCGGUAUAUGGUGAUGUUACAUUAAAUGUUCUUGGAUAUGUACUAAUGCAAAUGUUAGGGUGAUUGCAUACGUUUCACGACAAAUGGAAUCUCAUGAGAUGAAUUACCCUACUAGUGAUUUGGAAGUCACGAUUACCAUCCUUGCUGUGAAGUUAUGGAGACAUUAUAUUUUAGUGAGAAUGCAAGAUUUUACAAAUCAAAAGAGUCUUCAAUAUCCAUUACUUGGAAGGAUUUUGAUAUGAGGCAGCGAAAGUGAAUUGUAUUGCUUAAUGAACAUGAUUGUACGAUCAGGUGAUCGUAAAGUUUGUUCUAGCUGAAGCACUUGAUAAGAAGACUGCAGUAAGAAUUAAUAUCUAGUACGCUUGCCAAGAUUAUCUUCUUGUGGAUUGGAAAUCAACUAAAGUAAAGUUAAGAAUGGAAGAUCGAGAAGAAGUUAUACUUGUUAAGUAACAAGUUAGUACAUUUACUCCAGUGUUGAGUAACAACCUUUCCCAGACAGUGCAACAUUACUUAUUUGUUUUAUGGAAAAGAGAAUUGGUUUAAGGAACUGCUGAGUUUCUUAAGUAUGUUGGUUGUGCAGUUUCCGAAGUAACGCCAUAAGGAUCAUGAAAUGUGUCAUGUGAGUCGGUUUUUGAUGACUUGUGAAUGGAAUGUUUCUGGGUAGAGAAGGAUUCGAUCAAGAAAGAGUUUUAGUAGACCCUGAGACUAUGGAUGAGUUUCCUCAAAGUAUUCAGGUGAUUAAGUUAACCUGAAGUAACCAGGAAUGGCAAAAGACAUCAACAGAUGGAUAUGCCACUAAUCGAGUAUAUAAGGUAAAUGGUUAUAUUUUAGAAGUGUUCACCUUAGAAAAGUAGAAUUUGGAUUGGAAAAAGAAGGUCCUGAGAGUUAAGAUAGAGUAAAUGGUAAAAGUUUUGUGAAGGAAUCAUUCAGUGGAAGAAAAUUACGUGGGAGAAAAAGAAUCGGAUGAAAGAAACUUACCGAGGUUGGUAUAAGUGUUGAUGAAUUGGUUGGUUGCUGGAAUUUCGGGGACGAAAUUCUAUAAGGAGGGAAGAUUGUCACAGCCCGUUCCAAAUUAUUAUAUUCGUGGCUGUGAAUGAACGAAAUUGCCCUUAAGAAAUACUAAAUUUGUGAAGCUCAGGUUGCUAAUUAUCUAGGUUCCUAAGUUUGAAAAUAAAAUGGAAUUUAAUAAGGAUGGAACUUAGAUUUUUAGGUUAAAAUGUUAAAGUUUGGUGUUUGGAGAUUGGAAUAAGGACCACGUGGGAUCCCCACAUCCCUCAAAACCCUCCUCAUUUCCCGUUCACUGUCUUUCUCUCUCCUCCUUCACGAUUUCUCACUCUCUCUGUCUCUCUCCUUCGAACUCACACGGACCACCACC
rnacentral:lncRNA from 1 species